rnacentral:rRNA from 1 species
GACGAACGCUGGCGGCGUGCCUAAUACAUGCAAGUAGAACGCUGAAGGAGGAGCUUGCUUCUCUGGAUGAGUUGCGAACGGGUGAGUAACGCGUAGGUAACCUGCCUGGUAGCGGGGGAUAACUAUUGGAAACGAUAGCUAAUACCGCAUAACAGUAGAUAUCGCAUGAUAUCUACUUGAAAGGUGCAAUUGCAUCACUACCAGAUGGACCUGCGUUGUAUUAGCUAGUUGGUGAGGUAACGGCUCACCAAGGCGACGAUACAUAGCCGACCUGAGAGGGGGCUCGGCCACACUGGGACUGAGACACGGCCCAGACUCCUACGGGAGGCAGCAGUAGGGAAUCUUCGGCAAUGGACGGAAGUCUGACCGAGCAACGCCGCGUGAGUGAAGAAGGUUUUCGGAUCGUAAAGCUCUGUUGUAAGAGAAGAACGAGUGUGAGAGUGGAAAGUUCACACUGUGACGGUAUCUUACCAGAAAGGGACGGCUAACUACGUG